CGGGACGGGUGAGUAAUGUCUGGGAAACGUGCCUGAUGGAGGGGGAUAACUACUGGAAACGGUAGCUAAUACCGCAUAACGUCGCAAGACCAAAGAGGGGGACCUUAGGGCCUCUUGCCAUCGGAUGCGCCCAGAUGGGAUUAGCUAGUAGGUGGGGUAACGGCUCACCUAGGCGACGAUCCCUAGCUGGUCUGAGAGGAUGACCAGCCACACUGGAACUGAGACACGGUCCAG
rnacentral:rRNA from 1 species